CUUCAGUUUGACUUGGAUUCGGGUAGGGAUACCCCCUGAAACUUAAGC
rnacentral:rRNA from 1 species